rnacentral:pre_miRNA from 1 species
AAAAAGACAAACCCUGGGUUUCCGUGUCCAACGUUUGACUGUCCGUUUUAUAUGAAAUUUUUUUAUAAUCAGUAUUUUUAUUGCUGUUAUAUGAUAAAACAUGAUUAAUACUUUAUGUGUGACUUAUCUUUUUAAUUUUUUUCAUAAUUUUUUUCAAAUAAGAUGGACGGUCAAACGUUGGACACGGAAACCCAGGGUUUGUCUUGUU